rnacentral:rRNA from 1 species
CUACGUGCCAGCAGCCGCGGUAAUACGUAGGUCCCGAGCGUUAUCCGGAUUUAUUGGGCGUAAAGCGAGCGCAGGCGGUUAGAUAAGUCUGAAGUUAAAGGCUGUGGCUUAACCAUAGUACGCUUUGGAAACUGUUUAACUUGAGUGCAGAAGGGGAGAGUGGAAUUCCAUGUGUAGCGGUGAAAUGCGUAGAUAUAUGGAGGAACACCGGUGGCGAAAGCGGCUCUCUGGUCUGUAACUGACGCUGAGGCUCGAAAGCGUGGGGAGCAAACAGGAUUAGAUACCCUGGUAGUCCACGCCGUAAACGAUGAGUGCUAGGUGUUAGACCCUUUCCGGGGUUUAGUGCCGUAGCUAACGCAUUAAGCACUCCGCCUGGGGAGUACGACCGCAAGGUUGAAACUCAAAGGAAUUGACGGGGGCCCGCACAAGCGGUGGAGCAUGUGGUUUAAUUCGACGCAACGCGAAGAACCUUACCCGGUCUUGAGAUCC